rnacentral:rRNA from 1 species
GUGGGGAAUAUUGGACAAUGGGCGAAAGCCUGAUCCAGCCAUGCCGCGUGUGUGAAGAAGGUCUUCGGAUUGUAAAGCACUUUAAGUUGGGAGGAAGGGUAGUAACCUAAUACGUUGCUACUUUGACGUUACCGACAGAAUAAGCACCGGCUAACUUCGUGCCAGCAGCCGCGGUAAUACGAAGGGUGCAAGCGUUAAUCGGAAUUACUGGGCGUAAAGCGCGCGUAGGUGGUUCAGUAAGUUGGAAGUGAAAUCCCCGGGCUCAACCUGGGAACUGCUUUAAAAACUGCUGAGCUAGAGUACGGUAGAGGGUGGUGGAAUUUCCUGUGUAGCGGUGAAAUGCGUAGAUAUAGGAAGGAACACCAGUGGAGAAGGCGACCACCUGGACUGAUACUGACACUGAGGUGCGAAAGCGUGGGGAGCAAACAGGAUUAGAAACCCGUGUAGUCC